GCCUUCGUCGUCCGUCCAUAGAGAGAGAGAGAGAGAGAGAGAGAUUUCGGAAGCCCUUUCCCGGAGAAAUCCUCAUUCCGAAAAAGGGCUCGUCCUUCCGCCGAGAGAACGAUGCAGAGGCUUCUCCUCCGGAGGCUCUCCUCCGUGGCCCAUGGGAGGGGCGUCUCCUGGCCGGCCGUCGCCGCGCUUCCCAAAAUGCCCCCGUUCGACUACACUCCGCCACCCUACGAAGGCCCCACCGCCGCCGACAUCUUAAAGAAACGCGCCGAGUUCCUCAGCCCCUCCAUUUUCUACUUCUACCGCAAACCCUUAAAUAUUGUUGAUGGGAAGAUGCAGUACUUGUUCGAUGAGCAUGGGCGCCGCUAUCUUGAUGCUUUUGCUGGUAUAGCUACUGUAUGCUGUGGACAUUGCCAUCCUGAAGUCAUUGAAGCUAUCAUUGAACAGACAAAAUGUCUUCAACAUUCUACUGUUGUAUAUCUAAAUCACACUAUUGCCGAUUUUGCUGAGGCAUUAGCUUCCAAGCUACCUGGUGAUCUCAAGGUAGUUUUCUUCACAAAUUCUGGUACAGAAGCAAAUGAACUUGCCAUGAUGAUUGCCCGGCUCUAUACUGGCUGCCAUGAUAUUAUAUCACUCAGAAAUGCAUACCACGGGAAUGCAGCUGGAACAAUGGGUGCAACUGCUCAAUUCAACUGGAAAUUCAAUGUCAUACAGAGUGGAGUGCACCAUGCACUGAACCCAGACCCAUAUAGAGGCGUCUUCGGUUCAGAUGGAGAAAAAUAUGCUAGAGAUGUCCAAGAAAUCAUCGACUUCGGAACUUCUGGGCAGGUCGCAGGUUUCAUUUCUGAGGCCAUACAGGGAGUGGGUGGAAUAGUUGAAUUAGCACCAGGUUACUUGCCUGCCGUCUAUAAAAGCAUAAAGAAAGCUGGGGGACUCUUUAUAGCUGAUGAGGUACAGUCAGGAUUUGCUCGCCCCGGAAGCCACUUCUGGGGAUUCGAGGCCCAUGGUGUUGUGCCUGACAUAGUCACUAUGGCAAAGGGUAUUGGGAAUGGGAUCCCUCUUGGUGCAGUUGUUACAACUCCAGAGAUUGCCCAAGUCUUGACCCGUAGAAAUUAUUUCAACACCUUUGGAGGCAAUCCUGUCUGCACUGCUGCAGGGCUGGCUGUUCUUAGAGUGCUUGAGAAAGAAAGGCUUCAAGAUAAUGCAUUUGUAGUGGGUUCCUACCUGAAAGAUCGCCUGAAAGCCCUUCAGGAAAAGCAUGAAAGAGGUUCCGCAUUUGAAACACGGGAGAUGGAAUAAUUCCUCUAAUUCCUAUGAAUCAUCGGUGAUGUGAGAGGAAGAGGCCUGAUGCUUGGAGUUGAACUAGUCGCUGACCGCCAGCUGAAAACUCCAGCCAAAGCCGAGGCCUUGCAUGUCAUGGACCAGAUGAAAGAAAUGGGUGUAUUAGUCGGUAAGGGUGGCUUUUAUGGGAAUGUCUUCAGAAUAACACCUCCUCUCUGCUUCACCAAGGAAGAUUCUGACUUCUUUGUUGACGUAAUGGAUAUUUCGUUGUCAAAGCUGUGAAGCCCCUGCUCCCAUACCAAAUAAAACAGAUAUAUUGUAUCAGCUGUGUAAGGUGCUGUCUGUUGUAAUAUAACUUUCUUUACUCUAAUUGUUAAUGAGGUCUCAUAUGUUAUGAAGUAUGAAUAAUAUGAGUUAAUAUCUCACAAAGAGAUGAUUAGAAGACACCA